rnacentral:rRNA from 1 species
AUUGAACGCUAGCGGGAUGCCUUACACAUGCAAGUCGAACGGAGUGGCGAACGGGUGAGUAAUGUAUCGGAACGUGCCCAGUAGCGGGGGAUAACUACGCGAAAGCGAAGCUAAUACCGCAUACUCUUGGAGCGGCAGAUAGCGGAUUAGCUAGAUGGUGGGGGAAGGGCCAACCAAGGCGACGUUACGUAGCUGGUUGGGGAGGCAGACCAGCCACACUGGGACUGGGGACCGGCCCAGACUCCUACGGGAGGAAGCAGUGGAGAAUUUUGGACAAUGGGGGAAAGCCUGAUCCAGCCAUCCCGCGUGUGCGAUGAAGGCCUUCGGGUUGUAAAGCACUUUUGGCAGGAAAGCGGUACCUGCAGAAUAAGCACCGGCUAACUACGUGCCAGCAGCCGCGGUAAUUC